GAGUUUGAUCGUGGCUCAGAACGAACGCUGGCGGCAGGCCUAACACAUGCAAGUCGAACGCCCGUAGCAAUACGGGAGUGGCAGACGGGUGAGUAACACGUGGGAACGUACCCUUUGGUUCGGAACAACUCCGGGAAACUGGAGCUAAUACCGGAUAAGCCCUACGGGGGAAAGAUUUAUCGCCGAAAGGAUCGGCCCGCGUCGGAUUAGCUAGUUGGUGGGGUAAAAGCUCACCAAGGCGACGAUCCGUAGCUGGUCUGAGAGGAUGACCAGCCACACUGGGACUGAGACACGGCCCAGACUCCUA
rnacentral:rRNA from 1 species